GCUCCCAUAGUUCAACGGGAUAGAACACAUCUCUCCUAAAGAUGGGAUCCAGGUUCGAGUCCUGGUGGGGGUA
rnacentral:tRNA from 1 species